rnacentral:rRNA from 1 species
CGGGUGGCGACCGGCGCACGGGUGAGUAACGCGUAUGCAACUUACCUAUCAGAGGGGGAUAGCCCGGCGAAAGUCGGAUUAAUACCCCAUGAAACAGGGGUCCCGCAUGGGAAUAUUUGUUAAAGAUUCAUCGCUGAUAGAUAGGCAUGCGUUCCAUUAGGCAGUUGGCGGGGUAACGGCCCACCAAACCGACGAUGGAUAGGGGUUCUGAGAGGAAGGUCCCCCACAUUGGUACUGAGACACGGACCAA